rnacentral:rRNA from 1 species
UACGUAGGGUGCGAGCGUUGUCCGGAAUUAUUGGGCGUAAAGAGCUUGUAGGCGGUUUGUCGCGUCUGCUGUGAAAAUCCGGGGCUUAACCCCGGACCUGCAGUGGGUACGGGCAGACUAGAGUGUGGUAGGGGAGACUGGAAUUCCUGGUGUAGCGGUGAAAUGCGCAGAUAUCAGGAGGAACACCGAUGGCGAAGGCAGGUCGCUGGGCCACUACUGACGCUGAGAAGCGAAAGCAUGGGGAGCGAACAGG